GGGGCUGAGAGAGCGGAGCCAGCGCCACCCCCAUCGAGCUCGCCGCAGCCCGCCCCGGCCUCCUCCCGGCCGCGCCCCUCCCCCGCCGCCGCCGCGAACGCCUCUCUUUGUUGUCUAAUGCGGGACCGGCUGGCUCGGGACAUUUAUAUGUACCUAUCAGCCGAGGACAACCACUGUCCUCAAGUCUCUUUCCUCUCCAGGUUGAGAAGAAAAGGCGCCCAACUGUGAUGCCAGCCGCCAAGCUCCAAAGAGCGGUCCUUCUAAAGUCCCGUUACUGCCCCCAAAUAAAGCAUCCCUGGAGCCGACGCGACCACUAGGUGGACGGUAUACUGUACAAGAGGUCUGCAAAGCUGUUUUGCACACAUCUUGCAGACUGAAUACAUGGCAGGAGGAAUUCAAAUCUCCACGUGAAAGAAAGCUAGCUCACUUCAAUCCGUGUGCCUGAGCUCGAGUAAAGCAUUGGUACAAAAAUGAUUGAGAUGGUGAGGGAAAGGACUCUUCCCCGAGCCAUUGUUCAUAUGGAAACCAGUUACACAGAGGGGCUAAUGUGCAAAGGGUAAUCCACCCAGCGUCCUGGCAGGACCUCGCAGACGAGGAUUUGGGGAAGCUUUACACAUCAGAAUCAGAACCGGGAAAAGGCUGAGGGAGCAUCCAGGACCACCAUCUCCAACCAUUUUUCUUUAAAUCUUAAAAGCUUGUGAUUUCUUU
rnacentral:lncRNA from 1 species